rnacentral:rRNA from 1 species
GACGAACGCUGGCGGCGUGCUUAAUACAUGCAAGUCAACUGAACUUGAGGUAGCAAUAUUUCAAGGGAGGUGGCGCACGGGUGAGUAACACGUAGGUAAUCUGCCUUUAGGUCUGACAUAAUUCCGCGAAAGCGGGACUAAUAUCAGAUGAUGCAGCGGCUCGACAUCGAGACAGUUGUUAAACCUUCGGGGCCGUAAAGAUGAGCCUGCGUCUGA